UAGGGAAUCUUCCACAAUGGACGCAAGUCUGAUGGAGCAACGCCGCGUGAGUGAAGAAGGCUUUCGGGUCGUAAAACUCUGUUGUUGGAGAAGAAUGGUCGGCAGAGUAACUGUUGUCGGCGUGACGGUAUCCAACCAGAAAGCCACGGCUAACUACGUGCCAGCAGCCGCGGUAAUACGUAGGUGGCAAGCGUUAUCCGGAUUUAUUGGGCGUAAAGCGAGCGCAGGCGGUUUUUUAAGUCUGAUGUGAAAGCCCUCGGCUUAACCGAGGAAGCGCAUCGGAAACUGGGAAACUUGAGUGCAGAAGAGGACAGUGGAACUCCAUGUGUAGCGGUGAAAUGCGUAGAUAUAUGGAAGAACACCAGUGGCGAAGGCGGCUGUCUGGUCUGUAACUGACGCUGAGACUCGAAAGCAUGGGUAGCGAACAGGAUUAGAUACCCUGGUAGUCCAUGCCGUAAACGAUGAAUGCUAGGU
rnacentral:rRNA from 1 species